rnacentral:rRNA from 1 species
GUGGAUUAGAUACCCGGGUAGUCCACGCCCUAAACGAUGCGAACUGGACGUUGGGAGCAACUAGGCUCUCAGUGUCGAAGCUAACGCGUUAAGUUCGCCGCCUGGGGAGUACGGUCGCAAGACUGAAACUCAAAGGAAUUGACGGGGGCCCGCACAAGCGGUGGAGUAUGUGGUUUAAUUCGAUGCAACGCGCAGAACCUUACCUGGUCUUGACAUCCACGGAAUCCUUCAGAGAUGAGGGAGUGCCUUCGGGAACCGUGAGACAGGUGCUGCACGGCCGUCGUCAACU